UGGCUGGUGAUGAAAAACAUGUUAAUCAUACCAUCUUUUAGGACUGAUCGGUCGCUGCGUCCAUGCUGGCUUUCUGCAAUUCUGAAGCCA